rnacentral:rRNA from 1 species
AACUACACAUAAGAGGUCCUGCCUGCCCUGUGACCCCUGGUUCAACGGCCGCGGUAUUUUGACCGUGCAAAGGUAGCGCAAUCACUUGUCUCUUAAAUGAGGACCUGUAUGAAUGGCACGACGAGGGCUUAACUGUCUCCUUUCCCCGGUCAGUGAAAUUGAUCUUCCCGUGCAGAAGCGGGAAUCCUAACAUAAGACGAGAAGACCCUAUGGAGCUUUAGACUUCAGAACAGAUCAUGUAAGCUACCCCCGUGAAAUAGGUAAUAACUAUUGAAUUUCUGUUCCCCUGUCUUUGGUUGGGGCGACCACGGGGAAGAAAAAAACCCCCAUGUGGACCAGGAGCACAUUACUCCUACAACCAUGAGCCACAGCUCUAAUGCACAAAAUUUUUGACCAUUAGAUCCGGCAAAGCCGAUCAACGGACCAAGUUACCCUAGGGAUAACAGCGCAAUCCCCUUUAAGAGUCCAUAUCGACAAGGGGGUUUACGACCUCGAUGUUGGAUCAAGACAUCCUAAUGGUGCAGCCGCUAUUAAGGGUUCGUUUGUUCAACGAUUAAAGUCUU